AGAGUUUGAUCCUGGCUCAGGACGAACGCUGGCGGCGUGCCUAAUACAUGCAAGUCGAACGAACUCUGGUAUUGAUUGGUGCUUGCAUCAUGAUUUACAUUUGAGUGAGUGGCGAACUGGUGAGUAACACGUGGGAAACCUGCCCAGAAGCGGGGGAUAACACCUGGAAACAGAUGCUAAUACCGCAUAACAACUUGGACCGCAUGGUCCGAGCUUGAAAGAUGGCUUCGGCUAUCACUUUUGGAUGGUCCCGCGGCGUAUUAGCUAGAUGGUGGGGUAAUGGCUCACCAUGGCAAUGAUACGUAGCCGACCUGAGAGGGUAAUCGGCCACAUUGGGACUGAGACACGGCCCAAACUCCUACGGGAGGCAGCAGUAGGGAAUCUUCCACAAUGGACGAAAGUCUGAUGGAGCAACGCCGCGUGAGUGAAGAAGGGUUUCGGCUCGUAAAACUCUGUUGUUAAAGAAGAACAUAUCUGAGAGUAACUGUUCAGGUAUUGACGGUAUUUAACCAGAAAGCCACGGCUAACUACGUGCCAGCAGCCGCGGUAAUACGUAGGUGGCAAGCGUUGUCCGGAUUUAUUGGGCGUAAAGCGAGCGCAGGCGGUUUUUUAAGUCUGAUGUGAAAGCCUUCGGCUCAACCGAAGAAGUGCAUCGGAAACUGGGAAACUUGAGUGCAGAAGAGGACAGUGGAACUCCAUGUGUAGUGGUGAAAUGCGUAGAUAUAUGGAAGAACACCAGUGGCGAAAGCACCUAUUUGGACAUGUACUGACGCUAAGGCUCGAAAGUGUGGGGAGCAAAACGGAUUAGAUACCCGUGUAGUCCACACCGUAAACGAUCCCUGUUAGAUGUUCGAAAUUUGCUGAAAUUUCUCUUCGGAGAAGGAUAAGCACUUUUUGAGUGUCGCAGCUAACGCGUUAAACAGGGCGCCUGUGAAGUACGACCGCAAGGUUAAAACACAAAGGAAUUGACGGGGACCCGCACAAGCAGUGGAGUGCCUGGUUUAAUUCGAUGAUCAACGAAGAACCUCACCUGGGCUUGAACUGUGGCUGCUAAUCCUAUGAAAGUAGGACUCUUUCGAAGGUGCCACAGAGGUGAUGCAUGGCUGUCGUAAGCUCGUGUCGUGAGAUGUCGGGUUAAGUCCCACAACGAGCGCAACCCCUUUCAGAUGUUACAAUUACUUCUGAUACUGCCCCGCCAAAACGGGGAGGAAGGAGGGGAUGACGUCCAGUCAUCAUGUCCCUUAUGUCCAGGGCUACACAGACACUACAAUGGCGAUAACAAUGGGUUGCCAAGCCGCAAGGCGGAGCUAAUCCCAUCAAAGAUCGUCUCAGUUCAGAUUGCAGGCUGCAACUCGCCUGUAUGAAGUUGGAAUUGCUAGUAAUCGGAAAUCAGCGUGUUCCGGUGAAUACGUUCUCGGGUCUUGUACACACCGCCCGUCAGGGCAUGGGAGUUGCUCAUACUCGAAGUCUACGUUUAUCGUGGCCGAAAGUUAUGGGUGGCGACUGGGCUUAAGUCGUAACAAGGUAACCGUA
rnacentral:rRNA from 1 species